UACGGAGGAUGCGAGCGUUAUCCGGAUUUAUUGGGUUUAAAGGGUGCUCAGGCGGGCCAUUAAGUCGGCGGUGAAAUUUUGCGGCUCAACUGUAAAAGUGCCUUCGAAACUGGUUUCCUUGAGUGUGGAUGAAGUAGGCGGAAUUUGUGGUGUAGCGGUGAAAUGCAUAGAUAUCACGAGGAACUCCGAUUGCGCAGGCAGCUUACUAAACCAUAACUGACGCUCAGGCACGAAGGCGUGGGGAUCAAACAGGAUUAGAUACCCGGGUAGU
rnacentral:rRNA from 1 species